rnacentral:rRNA from 1 species
AAUACCGCAUAACGUCGCAAGACCAAAGAGGGGGACCUUCGGGCCUCUUGCCAUCGGAUGUGCCCAGAUGGGAUUAGCUAGUAGGUGGGGUAACGGCUCACCUAGGCGACGAUCCCUAGCUGGUCUGAGAGGAUGACCAGCCACACUGGAACUGAGACACGGUCCAGACUCCUACGGGAGGCAGCAGUGGGGAAUAUUGCACAAUGGGCGCAAGCCUGAUGCAGCCAUGCCGCGUGUAUGAAGAAGGCCUUCGGGUUGUAAAGUACUUUCAGCGGGGAGGAAGGGAGUAAAGUUAAUACCUUUGCUCAUUGACGUUACCCGCAGAAGAAGCACCGGCUAACUCCGUGCCAGCAGCCGCGGUAAUACGGAGGGUGCAAGCGUUAAUCGGAAUUACUGGGCGUAAAGCGCACGCAGGCGGUUUGUUAAGUCAGAUGUGAAAUCCCCGGGCUCAACCUGGGAACUGCAUCUGAUACUGGCAAGCUUGAGUCUCGUAGAGGG